UACGGGGGGGGCAAGCGUUGUUCGGAAUUACUGGGCGUAAAGGGCUCGUAGGCGGCCAACUAAGUCAGACGUGAAAUCCCUCGGCUUAACCGGGGAACUGCGUCUGAUACUGGUUGGCUUGAGUUUGGGAGAGGGAUGCGGAAUUCCAGGUGUAGCGGUGAAAUGCGUAGAUAUCUGGAGGAACACCGGUGGCGAAGGCGACAUCCUGGACCAACACUGACGCUGAGGAGCGAAAGCCAGGGGAGCAAACGGG
rnacentral:rRNA from 1 species